rnacentral:rRNA from 1 species
AUUGAACGCUGGCGGCAGGCCUAACACAUGCAAGUCGAGCGAGAAAGCCCUUCGGGGUGAGUAGAGCGGCGGACGGGUGAGUAACGCGUAGGAAUCUACCCAGUAGCGGGGGACAACAUGUGGAAACGCAUGCUAAUACCGCAUACGCCCUACGGGGGAAAGGGGGCUCUUUGAGCUCUCACUAUUGGAUGAGCCUGCGUAAGAUUAGCUAGUUGGUGAGGUAAAGGCUCACCGAGGCGACGAUCUUUAGCUGGUCUGAGAGGAUGAUCAGUCUCACUGGAACUGAGACACGGUCCAG